CCUACGGGAGGCAGCAGUAGGGAAUCUUCCACAAUGGGCGAAAGCCUGAUGGAGCAACGCCGCGUGAGUGAUGAAGGCCUUCGGGUUGUAAAACUCUGUCAUUCGGGACGAACCGGAGUCUGAGGAAAUGCAGACUCUCUGACGGUACCGGAGGAGGAAGCCCCGGCUAACUACGUGCCAGCAGCCGCGGUAAUACGUAGGGGGCAAGCGUUGUCCGGAUUCACUGGGCGUAAAGCGCGCGCAGGCGGUGAUGUAAGUCUGAGGUGAAAACCCGAAGCUCAACUUCGGGACUGCCUUGGAUACUGCGUCACUUGAGGAUAGGAGAGGCAAGGGGAAUUCCACGUGUAGCGGUGAAAUGCGUAGAGAUGUGGAGGAACACCUGUGGCGAAGGCGCCUUGCUGGCCUAUUUCUGACGCUGAGGCGCGAAAGCGUGGGGAGCAAACAGGAUUAGAUACCCUGGUAGUCCACGCUGUAAACGAUGAGUGCUAGGUGUAGGUGGGCUCAUACCCAUCUGUGCCGAAGCUAACGCAUUAAGCACUCCGCCGUGGGGAGUACGGUCGCAAGACUGAAACUCAAAUGAAUUGACGG
rnacentral:rRNA from 1 species